AUAAAAUAUGUAGAAAGGAUGAGAUUGGAAGAAAAGGUGAUCAGAACAUCAAAAUAAGAAACGAAGACACCAUUACUCCUCUCAAGAACUCACUAUGUAGCAAGAGAGACAGCUAAAGAAGAAAUUACAACACUGGUCUUGGGUCUCUGGAGUAAUGAGAGCUGUGAUACAGAGACGUGCACUGCUGGCAAGAGUGCCCAUAGGAGCGGGGCCUUCAAAAGGGAACCGCUAAACUGAGUAAUCAUGGAAUGUUCAUCCUGCAGGAAGCGUGAACAAAACGAGGUCGUAUCGACUGAGAAGUUGGUGGCGUGAUUCCCGCGAGAAUUGACGAGAUCGAGUCUUGGGCAAGGGUGGUGGGAGGAGGCCCCCGGGGUGGAAGGCACUUGGCUCCCCUCCGAGCCCCUCUGUGAGGGCGGGGCAGGAAAGAAUGGCCUAAGAGCCUUGACUUGGCGGUGUGAUUGCCCAAGACCGAGGGAAGAGGAAGAGGCCAGCGGGGAGGACAAGAAAUUCAGUUCCGGGUGUGGAUUGGAGGGGUUUGGGGGAGAUCCAGGCAGGAUGGAUGACUAAUUGAGUGGACACGUGAAUCGCGCUGGGGAAGGGGUCUGGCCGGAGCAUGGAUUGGAGACUGGGGUCAGAGAGUCUCCUGCUGGCUCUGAGGAAGAAAGCUGCCAUGUUGUGAUUUGCUUAUGGAGAAGACCCAUGGCAGGGAGCAGCAGGGGCCUCUGGGAGCUGAGACUCGCCCCUAGCUGACAGCAAGAAAACAGGACCCUCAGUCCGGUGUCUGGAAGAAAUUCUGCCAAUGCCUGCAUCAGCUUGGGAGAAGAUCCUGGGCUCCAGUAAGAAACAGAGCCACGCCAGCAUCUUGACUGCAGGCUUGUGAGACGCCACAGGGGACUUGGCUAAGUUGAACCCAGACUCCUCACCCACAAAAACUAUGAAAUAACAAAUGUGUGUUGUUUUAAGCUGCCAA